UAGGCGUAGUUUACUUUUCAUUUGCAUCAAGGGGAUGUUCCGCAUCAUUGUGGUUCUAUUCUCUCAUUAUACUCUGCACUCAAGCCUGUUUCACAUCCUCCUUUUUAGACUGCACGACUUUGAAGAGACGCGUUCAUCAUUUUACGCAAGUAACUCGACCUUCAUUGCCCUUCACAAGGCUCUUUAUUUUUAGGAAGAAAUUUCCAAAAUAAAAGCAUCCAAAAAAUGUGGACAAAGAUUUUAAUUUUUUUUGCCUUGUAUGCUGUCUGUGUGAACAGUGAAACUACCUACAAACUCUCUGGAAUUUCCUUUAAGAUGAAAUGUAAUGCCCCAAGCAACACUGCCG